rnacentral:rRNA from 1 species
CCUACGGGAGGCAGCAGUGAGGAAUAUUGGUCAAUGGACGAGAGUCUGAACCAGCCAAGUAGCGUGAAGGAUGACUGCCCUCUGGGUUGUAAACUUCUUCUAUAAAGGAAUAAAACGAGGCACGUGUGCCCUUUUGCAUGUACUUUAUGAAUAAGGAUCGGCUAACUCCGUGCCAGCAGCCGCGGUAAUACGGAGGAUCCGAGCGUUAUCCGGAUUUAGUGGGUGUAAAGGGAGCGUAGAUGGGGUGUUAAGUCAGAUGUGAAAGUUUGCGGCUCAACCGUAAAAUUGCAAUUGAUACUGGCAGGCUGGAGUACAGUAGAGGUAGGCGGAAUUCGUGGUGUAGCGGUGAAAUGCUUAGAUAUCACGAAGAACCCCGAUUGCGAAGGCAGCUUACUAAACUGUGACUGACAUUGAUGCUCGAAAGUGUGGGUAGCAAACAGGAUUAGAUACCCCUGUAGUC